ACGAACGCUGGCGGCGUGCUUAACACAUGCAAGUCGAACGGAAAGGCCCUGCUUUUGUGGGGUGCUCGAGUGGCGAACGGGUGAGUAACACGUGAGUAACCUGCCCUUGACUUUGGGAUAACUUCAGGAAACUGGGGCUAAUACCGGAUAGGAGCUCCUGCUGCAUGGUGGGCGUUGGAAAGUUUCGGCGGUUGGGGAUGGACUCGCGGCUUAUCAGCUUGUUGGUGGGGUAGUGGCUUACCAAGGCUUUGACGGGUAGCCGGCCUGAGAGGGUGACCGGCCACAUUGGGACUGAGAUACGGCCCAGACUCCUACGGGAGGCAGCAGUGGGGAAUAUUGCACAAUGGGCGGAAGCCUGAUGCAGCAACGCCGCGUGCGGGAUGACGGCCUUCGGGUUGUAAACCGCUUUCGCCUGUGACGAAGCGUGAGUGACGGUAAUGGGUAAAGAAGCACCGGCUAACUACGUG
rnacentral:rRNA from 1 species